rnacentral:rRNA from 1 species
GACGAACGCUGGCGGCGUGCCUAAUACAUGCAAGUAGAACGCUGAAGGAGGAGCUUGCUCUUCUGGAUGAGUUGCGAACGGGUGAGUAACGCGUAGGUAACCUGCCUGGUAGCGGGGGAUAACUAUUGGAAACGAUAGCUAAUACCGCAUAACAGUAGAUGUUGCAUGACAUUUGCUUAAAAGGUGCAAUUGCACCACUACCAGAUGGACCUGCGUUGUAUUAGCUAGUUGGUGGGGUAACGGCUCACCAAGGCGACGAUACAUAGCCGACCUGAGAGGGUGAUCGGCCACACCGGGACUGAGACACGGCCCAGACGCCUACGGGAGGCAGCAGUAGGGAAUCUUCGGCAAUGGACGGAAGUCUGACCGAGCAACGCCGCGUGAGUGAAGAAGGUUUUCGGAUCGUAAAGCUCUGUUGUAAGAGAAGAACGAGUGUGAGAGUGGAAAGUUCACACUGUGACGGUAUCUUACCAGAAAGGGACGGCUAACUACGUG